rnacentral:rRNA from 1 species
GUGGGGAAUUUUGCGCAAUGGGGGCAACCCUGACGCAGCCACGCCGUGUGUGUGAUGAAGGCCUUCGGGUCGUAAAGCACUGUCGGGAGGAAAGACGGCAGCAACGGAUAACACCCGUUGCAGUUGACGGUACCUCCAAAGGAAGCACCGGCUAACUCUGUGCCAGCAGCCGCGGUAAGACAGAGGGUGCGAGCGUUGUUCGGAAUCAUUGGGCGUAAAGCGCACGUAGGCGGUUUUGUAAGUCGGAUGUGAAAUCCCACGGCUCAACCGUGGAAGUGCAUCCGAAACUGCAUGACUUGAGUCCUGGAGAGGGUGGUGGAAUUCCUGGUGUAGAGGUGAAAUUCGUAGAUAUCAGGAGGAACACCCGUGGCGAAGGCGACCACCUGGACAGGUACUGACGCUGAGGUGCGAAAGCGCGGGGAGCAAACAGGAUUAGAAACCCCAGUAGUCC